ensembl:miRNA microRNA 30a
GUGACUGUAAACAUCCUCGACUGGAAGCUGGGAGGCCAGAAUGGGCUUUCAGUCGGAUGUUUGCAGCUGC